GUUCCAACACUUCCCUGUUAGAGAGAGAGACAGAGGUUCCAACACUUCCCUGUUAGAGAGAGAGAGACAGAGGUUCCAACACUUCCCUGUUAGAGAGAGAGACAGAGGUUCCAACACUUCCCUGUUAGAGAGAGAGACAGAGGUUCCAACACUUCCCUGUUAGAGAGAGAGACAGAGGUUCCAACACUUCCCUGUUAGAGAGAGAGACAGAGGUUACAACAGUUCCCUGUUAGAGAGAGAGACAGAGGUUACAACACUUCCCUGUUAGAGAGAGAGACAGAGGUUACAACACUUCCCUGUUAGAGAGAGAGGUUACAACACUUCCCUGUUAGAGAGAGAGGUUACAACACUUCCCUGUUAGAGAGAGAGGUUACAACACUUCCCUGUUAGAGAGAGAGGUUACAACACUUCCCUGUUAGAGAGAGAGGUUACAACACUUCCCUGUUAGAGAGAGAGACAGAGGUUACAACACUUCCCUGUUAGAGAGAGAGACAGAGGUUACAACACUUCCCUGUUAGAGAGAGAGACAGAGGUUACAACACUUCCCUGUUAGAGAGAGAGACAGAGGUUACAACACUUCCCUGUUAGAGAGAGAGACAGAGGUUACAACACUUCCCUGUUAGAGAGAGAGACAGAGGUUACAACACUUCCCUGUUAGAGAGAGAGACAGAGGUUACAACACUUCCCUGUUAGAGAGAGAGAGACAGAGGUUACAACACUUACUGAUUUAGACCAGGUGUGUGUGUGUGUGUGUGUGUGUGUGUGUGUGUGUGUGUGUGUGUGUGUGUGUGUGUAUCUUCAUGGGUAAUCAGUAACAUCAACUGAACUGGAAAAACUGGCCCUAAAUCUUCUCUCUUGGCGGGACAAACACUAAAGACUGGCUGCCAAUCCCAUUUCCCCGGCUCUGAUUGGUCAGCUGAGCUGUCAAGCAA